AAGUCGUAACAAGGUUUCCGUAGGUGAACCUGCGGAAGGAUCAUUAAUGCCCUCAUCUCUUGUGCGAGCGAGCGUAUACGCGCGUCUCGUGCAAGGUCCAAACGCUCGAAACUUUUGUCACGCACAAAAGUUCGACGAACCAAGCAACUUGAGACUUUUUUCUCGGUCCUCAGAUCGAGAGAAUCGUUCUCUACCAUUUUCUUACACCAUAAUUACCCUAUUUUAAACUAUUAGACUGAUAUGAAAAUUACAUUUUCUAUAAAUGUAAAGAACAACUCUUAGCAAUGGAUAUCUAGGCUCUC
rnacentral:misc_RNA from 1 species